rnacentral:rRNA from 1 species
UACAGAGGGUGCGAACGUUGCUCGGAAUUACUGGGCGUAAAGCGCGUGUAGGCGGGUGAUCAAGUCGGAUGUGAAAGCCCUGGCUCAACCCAGGAACUGCAUUCGAAACUGGUCGCCUAGAGUGUUGGAGAGGGAAGCGGAAUUCCUGGUGUAGAGGUGAAAUUCGUAGAUAUCAGGAGGAACACCGGUGGCGAAGGCGGCUUCCUGGACAAUUACUGACGCUGAGACGCGAAAGCGUGGGGAGCAAACAGGAUUAGAUACCCCGGAGUAAGUCCGAGAACCCAAGUCCUCGU